GUCGAAGAGAGUCUUAAUACCCAUACUCUGAAACUUAGUGCAGUAGAGCAAAACUGUCUUCCCACUCCUGAAAACAAGCUCAAGAGUUCCAUAGAUAUGAUGCACCAAAAAUUAGUAAUAAAUGCAGUGGGAAGAAAGAGAAAGAAGAAGAAGAAGAAGAAGAAGAAUUUUGAGAAGAAGAAGAAGCAGAAGAAAAGAAGAAGAAGAAGCAGAAGAGAAGAAGAGAAGAAGAAGAAGAAGAAGAAGAAGAAGAAGAAGAAGAAAAGAAGAAGAAGAAGCAGAAGAGAAGAAGAGAAGAAGAAGAAGAAGAAGCAGAAGAGAAGAAGAGAAGAAGAAGAAGAAGAAGAAGAAGAAGAAGAAGAAGAAGAAAAGAAGAGAAGAAGAAGAAGAAAAGAAGAGAAGAAGAAGAAGAAAAGAAGAGAAGAAGAAGAAGAGAAGAAGAAGAAGAAAAGAAGAGAAGAAGAAGAAGAAAAGAAGAGAAGAAGAAGAAGAAAAGAGAAGAAGAAAAAGAAGAAGAAGAAGAGAAGAAGAAGAAGAAGAAGAAGAAGAAGAAGAAAAGAAGAAGAAGAAGAAGAGAAGAGGAAGAAGAAGAGAAGAAGAAGAAGAAGAAGAAGAAGAAAAGAAGAAGAGAAGAAGAAGAAGAAGAAGAGAAGAAGAAGAAGAACGGAGAAGAAGAAGCAGAAGACGAGAAGAAGAAGAAGAAGAAGCAGAAGAAGAGAAGAAGAAGAAGAAGAAGCAGAAGAAAAGAAGAGAAGACGAGAAGAAGACGAAGAGAAGAAGAGAAGACGAAGAACAACGGAGAAGAAGAAGAAGAAGAAGAAGCAGAAGAAGAGAAGAAGAAGAACAAGCAGAAGAAAAGAAGAGAAGAAGAAGACGAGAAGAAGAGAAGAAGAAGAAAAGAGAAGAAGAAGAAGACAAGAAGAGACGAAGAAGAAAAGAGAAGAAGAAGACGACAAGAGAAGAAGAAAAAGAAGACGAAGACGAGAACACGACGACAAGAAAAGAAGAGAAGCAGAAGAAGAAGAGAAGAAGAAGAAGACGACGAGAAGACGAAGAAGAAGAAGAAGAAGAAGAAGACGAAGAAGAAGAAGAAG
rnacentral:lncRNA from 12 species